rnacentral:rRNA from 1 species
UUUGACCGUGCAAAGGUAGCAUAAUCAUUAGUUUAUUAAUUGUGAGCUUGUAUGAAUGGUUGGACGAAAUAUUAACUGUCUUAUAUUUAAUAUUAUAAUUUAAAUUUUGAGUUAAAAUGCUUAAAUUUAUUUAUUGGACGAGAAGACCCUAUAGAUCUUUAUUUUAAUUAAUUUUUUUUAAUUUAGUUUAUUUAUUUUUGAUUUUAAUUAUUUUUUUGUUGGGGUGACAUUUAGAAAUAUUUAACUCUUUAUAUUUUUAUUCAAUUAUUUUUGUUUUUUUGACUUUUUAUUAUUGUUAUAAGAUUUAGAUACCUUAGGGAUAACAGCGUAAUUCUUUUUUAGAGUUCUUAUCGACAAUGGAGAUUGCGACCUCGAUGUUGGAUUAAGGAUAAUAUUGGGUGUAGAUGCUUAAUAAUUAAGUCUGUUCGACUUUUAAAUUCUUACAUGAUCUGAGUUCAAAACCGGA